GGUUAGUAUUGAGGACUGAGAUGGAGAUUACGUUGCUCCUUUCAGAGCAUGAAGUCGGAGAACUUGGUGUGCUGGCGCCAUCUUGGGUGCGCUUCUGUGGUGAAGACAGUGCUGAAAUCUGCAAAUUGUCAGCUUUUAAUGUGUGCUUUUUGCUGGAUUGAUGUGCCAUGGUGUGGCAGGGAUUUUCCAACAGGAUUUGGUAAUUAUUUG